rnacentral:rRNA from 1 species
UACGGAAGGCGCUAGCGUUGUUCGGAAUUACUGGGCGUAAAGCGCACGUAGGCGGCUUUGUAAGUUAGAGGUGAAAGCCCGGGGCUCAACUCCGGAACUGCCUUUAAGACUGCAUCGCUUGAAUCCAGGAGAGGUGAGUGGAAUUCCGAGUGUAGAGGUGAAAUUCGUAGAUAUUCGGAAGAACACCAGUGGCGAAGGCGGCUCACUGGACUGGUAUUGACGCUGAGGUGCGAAAGCGUGGGGAGCAAACAGG